AGUGAACGCUGGCGGCAGGCCUAACACAUGCAAGUCGAACGGCAGCACAGUAAUAGCUCGCUCUUACGGGUGGCGAGUGGCGGACGGGUGAGGAAUAACUCGCAAUCUACUUUUUCGUGGGGGAUAACGUAGGGAAACUUACGCUAAUACCGCAUACGACCUACGGGUGAAAGCAGGGGAUCUUCGGAUCUUGCGCGAUUGAAUGAGCCGAUGUCGGAUUAGUUAGUUGGCGGGGUAAAGGCCCACCAAGGCGACGAUCCGUAGCUGGUCUGAGAGGAUGAUCAGCCACACUGGAGCUGAGACACGGUCCAGACGCCUACGGGAGGCAGCAGUGGGGAAUAUUAGACAAUGGGCGCAAGCCUGAUCCAGCCAUACCGCGUGGGUGAAGAAGGCCUUCGGGUUGUAAAGCCCUUUUGUUGGGAAAGAAAAGCAGCAGGUUAAUACCCCGCUGUUCUGACGGUACCCAAAGAAUAAGCACCGGCUAACUUCGUG
rnacentral:rRNA from 1 species